rnacentral:rRNA from 1 species
UGGGGAAUUUUGGACAAUGGGCGCAAGCCUGAUCCAGCCAUGCCGCGUGGGUGAAGAAGGCCUUCGGGUUGUAAAGCCCUUUCGGCCGGGAAGAAAACGUGCGGGCGAACAGUCUGCAUGGAUGACGGUACCGGAAGAAGAAGCACCGGCUAACUACGUGCCAGCAGCCGCGGUAAUACGUAGGGUGCGAGCGUUAAUCGGAAUUAUUGGGCGUAAAGCGUGCGCAGGCGGCGCCAUAAGACAGCUGUGAAAUCCCCGGGCUUAACCUGGGAACUGCGGUUGUGACUGUGGUGCUAGAGUACGGCAGAGGGAGGUGGAAUUCCUGGUGUAGCAGUGAAAUGCGUAGGGAUCAGGAGGAACACCGAUGGCGAAGGCAGCCUCCUGGGCUGAUACUGACGCUCAUGCACGAAAGCGUGGGGAGCAAACA